ensembl:lncRNA
AUGAUUGCAUGUAUCCACUUUCCCAGGAAAUACAUGGAAAGGCCUCUGGGCAUGGGAGAGCUGGUGAAUUGUGAGGAACACUUGGGACAUGGAGCAGCAUUUCAUAUGGAGGAGAAAAGACAAAAAUGUGGUCUUAAGGUGCUUUUACUCUUGCCUGAUUUGGACUGCUUUGCUCCUGGACGAUCUCCUUAACACUGUUUUUAAGCUAUGUUGCAGCCUCUUAGCCUAAGGGUCUGUUUUAACAGCUGAUGCCACUACAUAAAUCUUGUGCUGGUGAGAACAAAGACAAAGGAAUGAAAUGAAGCCAUACUUUGCGAGGACACUGACAGGAUAACCAAAAAUCUUUUGCUGACUAGGUUAAGAUAAAUAGUUACACAUGAAGUUGGCAGACAGAGCCAGCUGCAAAGUUGCCUAAAAUAAGCCAUGUGCUCAGUAUGUUGCCUAAGCACCAUUAGUAUAUUUUGGACUACCUUUGCUAAAUUCUUGGUCCUAGAAGGGUAACAAUUAAUGCUGUUGAGGAUGUUUGUGUCCCAAUAAAAAUCCUAAAAGAAUGCUGUACCAACUUCUAGUCAGAUCUGGAAUCCUUACCUACAGAAAAUCUGUUAUGCUAGUUCUAUAGGACCCAUCAUCACACAAUCAUUAAAUAAAACCAGACUUCUCUACUAGUAGGAUGAAUUGCAUUUAUUUUGCAUUUUAUGGCUUACCUCUAUUUUGACAAUUAAUUUUUUGAAAGUGCUAAUGCUGAUAAUACAAAUCUCUUAAUAGUCUUUAGCAGCAAAGUUGUGUGUAUGCACACAUAUAUUUUUUACCUUUCCUUUGUCUUUUUCUGUGAAUAAUGUCAGUCAUGUAAAAAUAAAUGCUAACAAUGCGUGAAUUCUUGGCUUCAGUGUUGGUUCAAUGAUAUUUUAAAUUUAAUUUCUUAUGGACUACCAUAUUUGGAAUCACAAGGUAAAUCCUUUUGAAGCAAGGAGAUGCAAACAGUCCAGUGAGAAGAAGUAUCCUGUCUCUAGGCCAGCUAAACUGACAGAUUGUACUUAAGAAAAACGUUUUUGAUUUCUAGAAAAGCCACUUUGGAACAUUUUUAGAAGAGUUUAAAAAUCCUUUUGAUUGUUCUUCAUCUGCAAAAUAUGGUUCAUUAUAAAAGAUUAUUUCAUUUUGGGAAAAAUAAUUACUUUUUUCAGAAUCUGUUAGAGCAAUUGCAGAUUUCUUUCAUUACAUUGGAAAUUCAAUUUUAAGUUCAAUUAAGAAAGAAUAAUUUUGUCUUCCCCCUUUCUCUUCUUGAUGAAGUCUUUAGUUCUUUUUUACUUAUUUUUUGUCUUUUUUCUCCUCACACAAGCAAUGCCAAUGACAUAGUUCUAAGUCCUGAAAUGUUCUUUUCUUUCAAGUGUUUUCCCUUUAAUAUUUUUAACAAACAAAAUAUUAAAAAUUGCAUUUUAUCACUAGUAUCACUGAAAAUCUUGUAGAAACAUUAUAAAUAUUUUAGAUUUUCCUUUUACAAGAAUGGUUGUAUUUUUUUAAAAUCUAAAAUAGGUAUUUUUUCAGUUAUAUCUGUCCUAUGUUCUACGGCAUGGUAGAUAUAAACAAUAAUUAUUUUAUGUUUUAAUUCACAGAUUUAAUCUACUGUUUUCCUCCAUCAAAGGAUAUUUUUAUACAUCCUUAUACGGCAGGUAUAUUCUACAGCAUUAUUCCAUAUCAGUAAGGAAAUAGUGACUUUACAGGCCACAGAAGUGAAAAAGUUGUCCAUCAUCUCAUUUCUGUUCCUGCAAACAAGCAUUGAGCAAAAGUGCUCAUCAGAGAGCUUGGCUUUACCAAGUACUUUGAGAAGUACACUUUAGUCUAGAGGUGUAAUUAUCUCUAUUUCUAGAAAAAAGUAUUUUAAAUGUUUUACUUUCUUAAACUAAAGUGAAAAUGCAUAGCUUCUGAUUAAGAAUGCUGUUAGCAAUGUAGCAGAGUUUACAUCUGAGCAUCAUGACAGCAGCAACUCAACCUAUUUCCAUGAACAUAUUUCUAACUUUGUGAUUAAACAGCGUACAUUCAGAUUAAACAGACACACAGCUCAGGUGAGAGAGGCCUUAAAUGAAUUUUGACACUGUGGGAUAUAAAUUAGACAAGGUUUGUAGAAAAGGUGAUAUCUUUAAUUAGAUCAACUAAUAGAAAUGGAGAAAACAAAGUUUUCGACUUGACUGACAUCAUUAAUGAGAACUGAGAAAGGGGAAAACCCAAACUAAAUACAAGUGGGAUGUAAUAAUAAAAUUAUUUUAAUCAAUUAAACCACUGAUGAGAAAACAGCUGCUAACAUGAAUGUUAUAGAAUGAAUCAGCAAGAAAACUGUCAGCUUUAAAAAUGUUGCUACUGUCCUCAUUAAGAAUGUGGUUCCCAGGAUUAUUUUUAAAACUUGUUUGGAUGUCCCUUGUUAGUCCAUGCCUUGUGCAAGAGAUGGACUACUUUUUAAUUAAAUGAUUCUCUUACCCUUUGCUGUGUUUUGUCUGUGACUUGUUAUCUGUGUCAGUUCAUUGUAGUGAAUAACAGUUGAUGAGUUCCAUGCACGUAAUUCUCAUGAGGACGUAUGACCCUUAGUGUAAUAUAUCCUGUUUUAAAGAGUAUGAAGAAAACCCAUUUAAUUCUUUUGGUUGCUGAUAUCAAUUAUGUUAAAUAUGUCAGUAUUCAUGAAGUUUACUUUGGCUCUGCCAGCAAGGUUUCGUUCUAAUGAGUGUUUGUUAGUAUAACAAAUAUAUGGGGGGUGUCUGCUUUGGAUUGUGAGUUUAAUACUUGUUUAAAAAGAGAUAUGGGAAAGAAGAAGUCUUCAAGGAAGUGUAAAUGCUGUGAUUAUCUAACAAUUUUUUGUAUAUAUGCCAGCAUUGAGUAUUACACAAUAGGCAGGAAUAUUUUAUCAAUGUAGGCUUCCAUUUUACAUUAUUAGAUUGACAGGUGGUAUUUGGGAGGUUAGUUCAAAUGGAAGGCCUGCUCCUUGCAAAGCAGUUUAGUGGCACAGUUCUUUAAAAUACCUUGCCAUGAGUAGUUCAUUAACAGGAUGCCAUUACUGUAUUUUCAAGCUUUGGUUGCUCUCUCCUAUUGAUUUCCACAGUUCUUUAUGAGUAGUAGGCACCUUCAUCUGAAAACCACCAAUUUAGGUGUACCAAUAUUGUAUUAAAUGAGAAAAAUAAUUGGUCUGGUUUCAAGUUCUUUCUUUAUCUUUGACAAAACCCAUCUUGAAUUAAGCCUCUGCACAACCAAGAGACCUUUGGGAGAGAAAUCCUCUAAGAUGUGAAUAUUCAUAAACUGCUUUUUAAGGCACUCAAAUGUAAAUUGCAGUGUUCUUGUCAGGCUGUUCAGCAUUUUAAAACUAUGCAGACAUUUUCUUAUCAUACUCUGAAGAAAUGAGAAAUUGUCAGGGUAUUGUUGUACUCUUCUCCAUCACAUAUCUAUUUUUACUAUAUAAGCUAUUUUGCCUCUAGUUCAGCCACGUCUUUAUGUGUUAAUGCAAUCAUAAAACAAAUAAGAGUUUUGUGUAUAUGUAUAAAUACAUACACAUAAUUGAUCCACAAAAGCCUAAGUCUGAAAUAUUAUAUGUAUAUGUAUAUGUAUAUGUAUAUGUAUAUGUAUAUGUAUAUGUAUAUGUAUAUGUAUAUGUAUAUGUAUAUGUAUAUGUAUAUGUAUAUGUAUAUGUAUAUGUAUAUGUAU